rnacentral:sRNA from 1 species
UCGAGACACGUGGUCCGGCGGCCGGGCACGACCGAUAAACUGGUCUCGGACGACGCCGGGCGCAGCCUCCGGCCGGUCCGUCAAUGAUCAGCCAGCAGCCGCUGCAACACCAGGGAG